GUGAGGAAUAUUGGUCAAUGGGCGGAAGCCUGAACCAGCCAAGUAGCGUGAAGGACGACUGCCCUAUGGGUUGUAAACUUCUUUUAUGCGGGGAUAAAGUUCGCCACGUGUGGCGUUUUGCAGGUACCGCAUGAAUAAGGACCGGCUAAUUCCGUGCCAGCAGCCGCGGUAAUACGGAAGGUCCAGGCGUUAUCCGGAUUCAUUGGGUUUAAAGGGAGCGUAGGCCGCCUUUUAAGCGUGUUGUGAAAUGUAGGGGCUCAACCCCUGCACUGCAGCGCGAACUGGAGGGCUUGAGUACACACAAAGUAGGCGGAAUUCAUGGUGUAGCGGUGAAAUGCUUAGAUAUCAUGAAGAACCCCGAUUGCGAAGGCAGCUUACUGGAGUGUAACUGACGCUGAAGCUCGAAAGCGCGGGUAUCGAACAGGAUUAGAAACCCUAGUAGUCC
rnacentral:rRNA from 1 species